rnacentral:rRNA from 1 species
UGGGGAAUCUUCCGCAAUGGACGAAAGUCUGACGGAGCAACGCCGCGUGAGUGAAGACGGCCUUCGGGUUGUAAAGCUCUGUGAUCCGGGACGAAAGAGCCUGAGGUAAAUAGCCUAAGGAAGUGACGGUACCGGAAAAGCAAGCCACGGCUAACUACGUGCCAGCAGCCGCGGUAAUACGUAGGUGGCAAGCGUUGUCCGGAAUUAUUGGGCGUAAAGCGCGCGCAGGCGGCUUACUAAGUCCAUCUUAAAAGUGCGGGGCUUAACCCCGUGAUGGGAUGGAAACUGGAAAGCUGGAGUAGCGGAGAGGAAAGUGGAAUUCCUAGUGUAGCGGUGAAAGGCGUAGAGAUUAGGAAGAACACCGGUGGCGAAGGCGACUUUCUGGAAGAAAACUGACGAUGAGGCGCGAAAGCGUGGGGAGCAAACAGG